UGUGUGUACCGUGCUCAGUGCUGGUAAACUGUGAAAAAAACAGACUCGUAAACAGUAAACUGGACAAACAAACGAUACGGUACGAUUACCAUACGAUGUCAUCCAAAAGACCGUCAUCAGUCUCAUUACUUUUAUCACGACUGAGUCUGAUGUUCGGAAACAGGGAAUUUUCUAUACGGCUUGUGAUGGUUUUAUGCUUGAUAACAAAUAUAUUUUAUAACUGCACACUACAAAUGGAUAACAGAUAUUAUAACAUAAUGUUAUGAACAAGCAUUUUCGCGUGUGCGUUCUCGUGGGAAGAAAAUAUGGAGAACACAGAAACGAAACCGGCUUGAUAUUAAUUAUGGAACGAAUCGGAAGUCUACAACGGAGAAAAUGGAAAACGGAAGUUCAAGUUAGUACGAUGAGUCACUGUCCCUCAAGAAACCUGGGUCGACUGAAAAAAGUACAUUUUUCUCGCAGUUACCGCAAUAAUAUGCAAGAUGCAACGUAAUUUUUCUUCCGGAUACCUACGUAGGUGUUUAUCGUGUAGGCCCUCGCAAAUUCGGACGCAGCAAGGAUGUAGCCACUUCGAAGACAACCGUCAUAAAUACAACGGUCGGUUAAAUAAUAAGUAUAACGACCGAUCAAUAGUGAAAUGUUAUUUGCAUACAAAUACAAUUUAAUGAGGUGAGUGAAAUAUUUCUUAUAACAUACCGCAUUAGGCUUUUAAGUAAGGU